AGGUGCAUAUCACCCAAGUGCGGGAGAAGAGGCAGCGGAUGAUGCACCCAUUGAAGAUGUUACUGUUGUUGAUGAACAACAACAGCCUACCCGAGAUGCUCCAUACCAGAAUAGUGAUGAUGACGACGUAUGUAAUGAUCUUUUCAACCGCGUUGAACGUUAUGGACGACGAAAUGCCACAAAUAUAUUCGGAAAAGACAGUCCUCGCUACAGUCGCAGCCAUUGUUGAUGAUGAUGACCGGGUACCAAGGUCGAUGCAUAACUCUGCUUUAAAGGGUAUAGACAAAGUGAACGAGUUAUUAGCAAAUACUAAUGAGGCUGUAAUGUUUAACAAGGUGCGUAUGGGACCACGUGCAUUUAGGAUUCUUUGUGAAAUACUAACAGAGAGAGGUUUGUUACAACCAACAAACAACAUGAACGUCCCAUAACAAGUAUUUGUCUUUUUAACCAUCAUUGCACAAAGUCAAACUAAUCGUGAGUCACAAGAUGUAUGGCAACAUUCGGGGGAGACAAUUUCAUGAAGAUUCAGUGACGUCCUAGGUGCAAUUUGUUCGUUGCACGAUGAUUUCAUUAAACCUCCCAACUAUGACAAACUUAGUGAAUUUGUACGUGGCAAUCGUCAUAGAUAUGGGACAUGGUUUAACGACUAUAUAGGCGCAAUUGACGGGACUCAUAUACCUUGUACACAGAUUGGUGUUCAAAAUCUGACAGCUUACCGCAAUAGGAAGGGGUUCAACUUUCUGAAUGUAAUGGCAGCAUGUUCCUUCAGUAUGAAGUUCACAUACAUAUUUAGUAGUUGGGAAGGUUCAGCACAUGAUGCACGAGUGCUUGCAGAUGCGGUGGCCGAACCCAAGUUCAAAUUCCCACAUCCACCGCCUGGAAAAUACUAUCUUGUUGACGCGGC